GGCGUGCCCGAAUGACCGCAAGGCGCGUAACCGAAAGUAAAACAAAGGCUGGCGCGCAGGGAGAGCGAAGUCUGUGAGAAAGCGAUUGGAGGGAGAGAAACCUUAGAGAGAGGAUUUUAGAGAGAGAGAGAGAGAGAGAGCGAGAGGAGCCCUAGCCCUAGAGAGAGAGAGGAACCCUAGCCCUAGAUUUCCUAUUUCGAAUCUGUAAAUAUGGGAGAAGCUGAUAUCCACGAUGGCGCAACUAAUACCAUAGAGACCACUCUGCAAUUUGAUCCAACUCAAAUGAUUGGAAUUAUAAGGAGGAAGGCUUUAAUUAAAGAGCUUGCUGAUGCAUACCAUGCCGAAUGCCUUACUUAUUGCCAAGAGCUUCUAGAGCUUCAAAAGAAGCGUGAUGAGCCAAGAGCUGAAAGCAAAACUCAUGAAGAAACCAGGAUUAAGGACACAGGAAGGCCCCCCAAACGCGUAAAGAAGACCCGUUAGUUAGGAACGGGCUGGGUCAUGGUGGUAGCACCUCCCUACCUAGUUACCAUGUUGUGGUUUCCAAUCCUGUUGACACUACCCUCUAGCACCUUCAAAAAAAUCUAACUGGCUAAUGUAUAUGAAAAAACAGAGUGGAGUUGUGAGGAUAGUAUGAGCGAGUUGGGGAUUCUGGCCACUUGGUAGUGAGUGGAGUUGUGAGGCACUGGUCCGGAAUGGCAUGAGCGACACGACCAGAUUCUGGCCACUUGGUACUGGAGGGCCAUAACCAUGUUUGGCGCCCAAGGAGAUGGGGCCAUGGAGGGCGCAGAACAUGCCAUAAUAUGCAUGUUCGGGUUGAAAGAUGCGAGAGUGUCUGCUAACAUGAUGGGGUUAGUAUUUUCUGAUAAUUUUGGCUGAGGAGGUUGAUUUGUUGGGAGUGAGUUUUCGAAUACAUGCUGCAGAACUCUGAAUAUCUCUUCGAGUCCUUUCAACGAAGGCAAUGCAGGUCACGCAUGCUCACAAUGUGGCGUGGUGGUACGCAUUUGGUCUGAUAGAAUGGAUGGGACUGAGGGGGUUGAGCACUGCUAUACUUCUUUCUUCAAGGCCGUCGAAGCUUCCGUGGGACUUGACUUUGUUGCUUCGUCCUCGACCGGGUUGAUUCCGAUAACUCCUCUUCCUUGAAUAACUGUGGUUGCUCAAAGGUUGGGGUUCUCAUUCUCCACCUACUCAGUCUCAUCUUGAGGUUCCUUUCCUUUGGUGGCUUCUCUUUCUUCUAAAAAAUACAAUACGGCAUAAAAUGUACUUAUCCUUCUUCAUCUACAAAAAAAACCUUCUUCAUGUA